GGGGGAUUAGCUCAGUUGAGAGUCCGUAUGCCUUACAGGCAAUGAGUCACAGGUUCGAGCCCUGUAUCCUCCA
rnacentral:tRNA from 1 species